CCCGCACAAGCAGUGGAGUAUGUGGUUUAAUUCGAAGCAACGCGAAGAACCUUACCAGGUCUUGACAUCCCCUGACAACCCGAGAGAUCGGGCGUUCCCCCUUCGGGGGACAGGGUGACAGGUGGUGCAUGGUUGUCGUCAGCUCGUGUCGUGAGAUGUUGGGUUAAGUCCCGCAACGAGCGCAACCCUCGACCUUAGUUGCCAGCAUUCAGUUGGGCACUCUAAGGUGACUGCCGGCUAAAAGUCGGAGGAAGGUGGGGAUGACGUCAAAUCAUCAUGCCCCUUAUGACCUGGGCUACACACGUGCUACAAUGGGCGGUACAAAGGGUCGCGAACCCGCGAGGGGGAGCCAAUCCCAAAAAGCCGCUCUCAGUUCGGAUUGCAGGCUGCAAUUCGCCUGCAUGAAGUCGGAAUCGCUAGUAAUCGCAGGUCAGCAUACUGCGGUGAAUACGUUCCCGGGCCUU
rnacentral:rRNA from 1 species